CCGUGUAUAGGCUACAGGUGAAUAUGCUAAUCGCUAAUAGCAUAGCUGAUGAUACGGACCGUGUAUAGGCUACAGGUGAAUAUGCUAAUCGCUAAUAGCAUAGCUGAUGAUACGGACCGUGUAUAGGCUACAGGUGAAUAUGCUAAUCGCUAAUAGCAUAGCUGAUGAUACGGACCGUGUAUAGGCUACAGGUGAAUAUGCUAAUCGCUAAUAGCAUAGCUGAUGAUACGGAUAUAGGCUACAUUCACGGUCUGAUACAGUGCAGUCGGAAAGUAUUCAUAACCCAUAAUGACAUAGCAAAAACUUUAGAAAUUAGUUUUUUUAUUUAUGAAAAUGAAAUAUUUUUACAAAAGUAUUCAGACUCU
ensembl:lncRNA